rnacentral:misc_RNA from 1 species
UGGGCAGGGCUGGUGGCGG